UCCAGUUUGUGUUUUUGCAUGUGACCUAACCUUCUAUUAGUGAAUCCUGUAUCACAGGCUUGUAUGUAUAUAUUUAAAAGGAAUGUUCAUAUGCAUUGGACAGAACAUUUGAACAUGUUAUAUACUAUUUGGUUUUUGGAGUUAAGUACGUAAAACGAAUAUGAGCCUAGCUCAAUUCGUAUGAGUAUUUAGAAUACAUAUAAAAAUAUUAUAAAUUAUAUGUUAUUAUAUACUGUCGUAUAGUAUUAUAUACUAUUAUAUAUUAUUAUUAUAUUAUAAAAUAUUAUAAUAUAAUAAUAAUAAAGUGGCAACGCUAUGCCUGAAUAGACGUGUGUGAAAGAGCAGCUGAUCAUUUUUAUUAUUUUCUUUGGCUUAACUUUGUUUACGGACCUAACUUGUGAUCGCUUAUACCAAUUAAAGUUUAAUUUGUUUGGAGUGAAUGAAAUUUGCUAGAAAAAUUGUGAAUUUCCCCACAGACAUUUAUAUUUCAUUUUCCAAGUGGCUUUCCAUUGCAUAACACUGCAUUGUUGGCGUAAAACAGUAACAAAAUAUUGCUGAAUUCAUCUCUAAAUGUGCCUUUUUUUUGCCUUUUGCUUUGUGCCGCCUUCCGUUUCAAAAUAAGCAAACUGACUUAUUGCACCAUUUUUGUUGUUGUUGUUGCUGCUGUUUGUUGACAUUAAAGAUGCCGGGUGCUGCUAAAGUAAAUUGUGUUGCCUGUAGUGAAGCUAUUGCUAAAAAUGGAAGCAUAAGAUGCCGCAUUUGUUCUGGCUGGCUUCAUGCAUCUUGCGCAAAACUCUCUGAAAAGGAUCUAAUAGCGCUUAUGGCUAUUAAAGUCUCUGCAUUUAUAUGCAACAACUGCGAGGUUAAGAUUGGUUCAGGUGGCUGUGGGGGCGAUGGUGGUGGCAUUGCUGAUGACAUACAGUGUCUAAAUAUGAAAUUUGACGACUUUCUUGCUGUUAACAAAGACGAAAUGAAUUGCAUCAAAUCUGUUUUGGGCGAAAUAAAGACUGAGAUGGCAUCUUGCUUAAAAGAAAUAAAAGCUAAAAUUGAUGUAUGUAUGUAAUAAACGCAUCGAUGAUGUUGCUUCAACAUGUCCUGCAAGAAUUAAUGCUUUGGAGGUUGGAAUCAACAUUUUGCAUCGACGUAUCUAUCGUACUGAUAUAGUUAUUGAUGGAUUGCCUUCGAACUUGAAAGACUUGGUUGCCGCUGUUGUUGUGUUAGGAGAUACCUUUAAGAUACCCCUCACUAAGUAUGAUAUAAAUAAUGUUUGCUAUAUGCACAAUCGGAAGUUGGUUCUUGUUAAGUUUAACUCUGUACUAGUCUGUGAUGCUAUUAUGAAGGAGUACUAUGCGACUCGGACACUGAAAGUUAGUGAUGUUAUUGCGGAAGAAGGUUGUGACAUAAAUAGCAGAGUCUAUUUAAAUGAUCACUACACACCAGCUGCGGCCCUACUUAACGCUAUAUGUAGGAACUUGAUGUCUUGUUGAAAAAUUCUGUUAUGCUGAGGUGGACUGAAUCGUUGUCAAUGUUUUCAUUUAUUUUGGCCACUGGGGACAGGUCAUUUUCAUGCGUGGCUAGCUUUUCAACGAAAGUUUUUUGGAGCCUUAACCCAUAGAAGCAUAGAGGUUCAAUACCUGAGGAAUUGUAGAUGACUUUUCUUUCACAGAUUUCCAAUUCUUUGGCCACAGUGGGGGAGAUGGUGAACCAAAUUGGAAAGCCGUAGAUUAGCACCCGUCUAAUAGCCACCUUAUAGAGCAGUAGUUUAGUGGACUGCG
rnacentral:sRNA from 1 species